rnacentral:rRNA from 1 species
GACGAACGCUGGCGGCGUGCUUAACACAUGCAAGUCGAGCGGUAAGGCCCUUUCGGGGUACGACGAGCGGCGAACGGGUGAGUAACACGUGGGUGACCUGCCCUCCAGCUCUGGGAGUAAGACCGUGGGAAACCGGGUACGUAAUACCGGAUAUGACUCCAUGACGCAUGUUGUGGGGUGGAAAGCCUUGUGCGGCUGAGGAUGGGCCCGCGGCCUAUCAGCUUGUUGGUGGGGUGAUGGCCUACCAAGG